GAUGAACGCUGGCGGCGUGCCUAAUACAUGCAAGUCGAGCGAACAGACGAGGAGCUUGCUCCUCUGACGUUAGCGGCGGACGGGUGAGUAACACGUGGAUAACCUACCUAUAAGACUGGGAUAACUUCGGGAAACCGGAGCUAAUACCGGAUAAUAUAUUGAACCGCAUGGUUCAAUAGUGAAAGACGGUUUUGCUGUCACUUAUAGAUGGAUCCGCGCCGCAUUAGCUAGUUGGUAAGGUAACGGCUUACCAAGGCGACGAUGCGUAGCCGACCUGAGAGGGUGAUCGGCCACACUGGAACUGAGACACGGUCCAGACUCCUACGGGAGGCAGCAGUAGGGAAUCUUCCGCAAUGGGCGAAAGCCUGACGGGGCAACGCCGCGUGAGUGAUGAAGGUCUUCGGAUCGUAAAACUCUGUUAUUAGGGGAGAACAAAUGUGUAAGUAACUAUGCACGUCUUGACGGUACCUAAUCAGAAAGCCACGGCUAACUACGUG
rnacentral:rRNA from 1 species